AAGAAUAACUAAACUUAAAUAGAACAUAAAUUUCUCUAAUGAAAUCGUGAAAUACAAAUUAAUCAUCUCCCACUCACUCCUUGGCCAAUUUUGUUGUUAUCCAAAUAAAACAAUUUAAUUCCCUCCCACUCUCUCCCUAGCCAAUUCACUUUAAUUGAUUUUGUAUUAAAAAACAACCCAUCUUUAUCUUUUGUAAUCCUUUCCAAUUUGUACGUGUGUUUGUGAAUGAUGAUAACAGAACAAAAACCCACGACUAUGGAGGCAACACUGUAACCUCACCUUAGCCGCUGCACAAGCCACUAGAAUCACGCCCUUUUCCGCCGCUCAAAAGCACGCCACCCUCACCGGUUCACUCACACAUGCUAAAAUGAGCCACUCAACAAAAUUCACUCUCAUCUCUCGUUCUACUUCGAAAUUGUGAGUAUAUAUAAACUCAGCCAAUUUAAUUUUGAUUAGUUUAGUUGUGAUUGGAUUAUAUGAAAUUCAUAUUUUUGUGUUUGGUAAAAUUAGGGAUUGAAACUCUUAAAUCGAUUAUUUGAAUAUUUUUAUGCUUAUCAAGUGCUUGAUAAAAUUCCUAAGAGAAUCUAGUAAAAGAAAAACAUAAAAUACAUGCAAAUAAAUGAAGGAAUUUGAAGCAAUGUUUGCUCACUUCAUCUUAGUAUGUAAUUAAUCAUCUUUCUUUAUUUUUUUAAAGAAAAUUAUAGCUAGUAUUAAUAUAAUAAAAAGAGUUAGUAAAUUAUUCAAGUCCAGCCGACAUAAUAAUAAGUUAAGCUACAAAAUUUUAAAUAUAAAAGAUUCGGUAGCUUUGAUGUGUUGUUUAGAAGGAUGAUUUUGAAGCUUGGUUUGCUAAAGUAGUAAAGUUUGCUCAAAAUAUCGUUGGAUUUGCUCGGAAGUGUAGAUGAAGUGACUAAAUAAAGUUUACCACCCCCCCCCCCCCCAACCCCCCCAGUGGUUGUUGUAUGUUUAGUCAAAAUUAAUAUACUUAUCUUCCUUUAUGGUUCAAGUAGUCUCUAUACAAAAUCUAAAUGUGUACGCUGUUUUAUUUUUCCUUUUUUACUUAAUCUUUUAUUUCUUCCAACUUUAUAUUUAUUGUACUGUAAACAUCGAUUCAUUGACUGCUUAAUAAUUUAAUUUAAUUCAAGUUUGAUGCCAAAUGUUUAAUAGAUUAACUUCAAAGCUUUGGAUGCAAAAUUUGUGUAAGUGCAUCGAGGUUGAUUAUGUGCUUGUAAUCUUUUGAUUAUAUUGUUAAUUUGAAGUAAUAAUGAAAGCAAGUAUGUGCUUGUAAUCUCUUUUCUUUCAUUUAGAAUUUUUUCCAUCUUUUUAAUGGAUGAAAGAAUUGAUUGCGGAUAUGUUUUAUUAAGAAAUUUAAUUGAUUUUGCAUUCUUACCUCAAUAUUUUUAUUUAUACCUAUUUGGCUUGCCAUAUACUAUUCUUUUAUGCAUUGGCAAUAAGAUUUUCUUUAUUGGAUUACUCUUCGACAUCAAUUAAGUGUUUUCUCAAGUUUAUUUUAUUGUUAAUAUUAUUUUUUUAAUCAUGUAGUACCAAAUAUAGAUAUAGAAAAAUGAUGUACCAAUAAUAGAUGAUCAAAUUGUGAAAUACUUUUGGGACAAAUCUUUAAUUUUAUGAAGAUUGAAAAUGACAGAUACCUUUCAAAGUCAUCAUCUACUAUAGUAUUGUCUCAGCAAAAAAGGAUCAAAAAUUAAAAUCGAGGAAGAAGAUAGCAAAUUUAAGGAAGUUGAAGCAUUUAUAAAACAACAACAUGUUGUUUACUUAAUUCUACUUUUGUGUAACGUUACUUUUAUUUCUCUUCUACAAUGUAAUCUUAUUUUUAG
rnacentral:lncRNA from 1 species